GGAGAAGUGGUUCAGUGGUUAAGAACACUGUCUGCUAAGUACAGAGGUCCUGAGUUCAAUUCCCAGCAACCACA
rnacentral:tRNA from 1 species